rnacentral:misc_RNA from 1 species
CGGAGAAGCGGGUAGCUGAGG